UCCUCCUGAAGUUAUACCUUGAUAUUGUAGCUAAUCAGAUAGGCUCAGUGGGUCUAAGAGGGGACAAUUGGUUGCUCCACCUGGCAGUAUCAUAGAUGCUGAGGCGGUCGAGUGUGUUGGUGACUCUAGAUUGGCAUGGUUCCUCCUCAGAUCAUCCCUUGAUGUUGUAGCUAAUCAAAUGAGCUCAAUGGGUCUAAGAGGGACAAUUGUUUAUGCUCCGCCAGGCAAUCUCUUCCUCCCUCCCUCUGUCAAACCAAGAAAGUCUAUUUACCUAAAAGCUAUCGAAGGAUUUUUCUGUGAGAUGUGUGGCAGAAUAUGCAAUCGAAAGCCUGAUCAAGAGAAGGCGAUGCCUACAGUUAAUGGCAUUCUCUUGCUAGAGAUGUUCAUGAGAUUUUGCACCACCGAUGACACAUUCAAGGACAAUUUGACGUUCAUAGUCAUGUGGCAGCAUCUUUGCCUCAAUGAGUGCGGGAAAUUACAGACCACAUUCUGCUUCAAGAAAGAGACCAACACAUCUUUAGCAUUGGCUUUCUGAAAGUAUGGCUUAUCUCAAAAGUAUUUGGUCAUGGUAAAUGAUAUUGGAGUCGCUUGUUCCAGUGAAGUGUCUGGAAGAUGGAUGAGCAUCAGCAGAGUUGCAAAUCAGCUGCCAUCGACGUGGGAGAAAUUCUUUGCAUUGGGUUUAUAUGGAUAAGAUGAACUACCACAGGUGGUCUUAUGAUUCGUUAACUUUUCUCUGCUCUGGCUAUGACAUGUUUAGUGUGUUGUUUAUGAGUGCAGACAUACACGAAAAAUGCAUAACCAGAGAGAAAAUCAUUUUUGUAAGAAGAUCAUAGUUGAUUACAAUUCCUCAUCUUUAUUGAUAUUGCACUAGCACAAGGCCUGGGAUGCACAGUCUUGAGCAUUGCUAUCAUGUUUCCAAGUCAAUCUAUUAGUUAUAAAGUUCCUUUGUUGGUGUUGAUACUUUGGAAGUAAAAGAUCAAUCAACUAUGGCCUACGGGAAAUCUUAAGAGGAUUCCUAACUCACAGGAGAGUUCGUGGCUUCUGUAGCUUGACUAGGAAUGGCUCUCCAAUGCCCAUUCCCACUCUGUUGUGCGAAAUAACUGGAGAUCGGUAAUGUUGCAGUAAGGCAAAGUUAAGUCAGUUACAAGCUUCCUGAAUGAGCAAUGUUCCUCUAAUUUCGGGACAAAGACAUGGUACUCUGGAAUCAGAAACUCCUGCUAUGGAUUCUCGCGUAGAAUACUUCACAGGCCACCUUUCCAACUGAUGGAGAACCGUAACUCCGAGCAACUGUCAACGGUCCACAAGAAAAUACUUUCAAUCAUGUUUAACUUGUGUGGUUUUGUUCUCAUCUGCAUCUAAGUGUCUGAAACGAAGUCAAGUUAUUCAUGAGGAGCAUUUUGGACAGGCAAAAAGCAUCUCGAGCAUCCUUGAUAGAUAAACAUUGGUGGACAAACCCAAGCCAAAAUCAGUAGAGGAAGAAUAGAAUAGGGAAGAAAUUGGGCAUGGAAGCAAAUGGGUCAAGACCGAUUCCAAGCGUGAGUGGUUGCAUCAUAAGGAAGUGUAAUUUGACGAACUUUGUAAUCUUGGUGUUACAGCAACUCCUAGCUCACUUGUUCAUCGUGGUGCUGCCACUUACAGUGCGCUGCAUGAAUGUUUUAAUCAAAAGCCGUGUCUUGAUCGGCAGCGACUUUCCUAGGCGA